rnacentral:pre_miRNA from 1 species
UGAUGAUGAUGAUGAUGAUGAUGAUGAUGAUGAUGAGGAUGAUUAUAAUGAUGACGAUAAAUCAUCAUCAUCAUCAUCAUCAUCAUCCGGAUCC